UUUCCGUAGGUGAACCUGCGGAAGGAUCAUUAUUGGAUUUUGAAACUUCAGGCUGCUGCUGGCUCUCCUCGGAGGGCAUGUGCACGCUUGUUGUCCAUUAUUUCUCCCACUGUGCACAAAUUGUAGACCUUUCAGUAGGCCUAUGUUGUUUUUCACAAUCUCUGAAUGUAAUAGAAUGGUUUUGAAUCUUGGGAAAUACAAUACAACUUUCAGCAACGGAUCUCUUAGCUCUCGCAUCGUGAAGAACGCAGC
rnacentral:misc_RNA from 1 species